rnacentral:piRNA from 1 species
CAAUUGAACGAAAUGUGCCA